rnacentral:rRNA from 1 species
AGUCACUGACAUUAGAUACCCGGGUAGUCCAGGGUGUAAACGCUGCAGACUUGGUGUUGGAAGCCCUUUGGGGGCAUUCAGUGCUGGAGAGAAGUUGUUAAGUCUGCUACUUGGGGAGUACGUCCGCAAGGAUGAAACUUAAAGGAAUUGGCGGGGGAGCACCGCAACGGGAGGAGCGUGCGGUUUAAUUGGAUUCAACACCGUAAAACUCACCAGGGAAGACUGUUACAUGAAGGCCGAGAUGAAGACUCUGCUAGAUUUUCAG